rnacentral:lncRNA from 1 species
UGCAUGGCGCUAGGCACUAGAAUGUUGUUCAUCUUUCGAAUAAUCUUUCAACUGACAACUUACCAUCAUUGCAUCAAAGGAAAUCCCUCUGUGUACAACGAAUAGUUUGUUUGUUGCAUCCAAAAUUUACGCCGACCGGAUGUAUUACUCGCUUCAAUUGCAAUGAGAAUCAAUUUACGUCGAUACUCGUGUCAGCACGGGAUGAAGUGCAAGGAGCUGAUACACGGAAGAUAUUCAUGGGGAAGGUGUACAGGGUCGGACUCAAGUCCUCGACGCCGAGACAACAGCAUGCAGCAGCGACUCACAUAAGUCCGGGUCUAAUACAUAUGCAAUUGGCUUGACCGAACGUUUCAAGUUUUUGCCGUUAUCGCACUAUACACGCCCCAUGCAUGUAUCCUAAGUUGCCCACGCGAUGGAAGCCAGAAGUGUCGGUGAUGCCUGUUGUUGGCCUGCACAUGUAACGGAUGAAGAAAGGGAAGGGGGAAAACGGGGAAGCGAAUCGAUGAAUGAACGAGCGAGUCUCGUGUCAGCCAAUAUGUAUAUGCAGUUCUACGAAUCACGGUGAGGGAGCAUCCAAAACGAAUUCUGCUGAAGUUGAUUUUUGGUUUGUUUGAGAAAAGACCAAAAACUCUCCUCGAGGAUCGCGGUGACGUAACUCAAGUUAAAACGCUGCUGCCGCUGAUCUUUUUCCAUCCAAGUCUUGGACUGCGGACUUCUUCGAAUAGGUAUAUAGACGAAUAUCUUCUCUAUAUUUUUACCCUAUUGUAUUCUUUAUUUUUCUGAUCUUUCUCUGCUUCUGGGAAACGAUUGCGGGCUACCGUUUAAAACUCGCGUUAUACACAUGGCGUAGAUUCUUACCCUCGCGCAAUAUUUCCGGUCUGAAGCGGAAGUGCAACUACCGAGGGAGUUAAACUCUCAGAAGGAAAUUUUUUCUCAACGAGGUCAGUUUGUCGAUUCAAUUCGUAGAUUUAUAGCCGACCCUAACGAAAAAUCCUCUAAUUUUUCAUCUCUUCAAAUUUCUGAAAAACUUUCCAAUUACGUAUUCACGUAGUUGCGUUCAUUCAUAAAAAAAUAUUACCUACGAAUGAAAG